rnacentral:snRNA from 1 species
GUAUUUGCUUUGGUAGUACAUAUAUUAAAAAAAUUAGAAUAAUACUGAGAAGAUUAGCAUAGCCCCUGCCCAACAAUGACACACAAAUGUGUGAAGCCUUCCAUAUUUUU